rnacentral:rRNA from 1 species
UACGUAGGGGGCAAGCGUUGUCCGGAAUCAUUGGGCGUAAAGAGCGUGUAGGCGGCCCGGUAAGUCCGCUGUGAAAGUCCAGGGCUCAACCCUGGGAUGCCGGUGGAUACUGUCGGGCUCGAGUCCGGAAGAGGAGUGUGGAAUUCCUGGUGUAGCGGUGAAAUGCGCAGAUAUCAGGAAGAACACCCGUGGCGAAGGCGGCUCUCUGGGACGGUACUGACGCUGAGACGCGAAAGCGUGGGGAGCGAACAGG